CUCUUCUCUUCUGUUUAUCUGGCCCCUUGGUGGCCUCGCCCCACCUCAUAGCUCUACAUGCUGAACAUUCCCGAAGGAGCAAUGAGGCUGAAGAGGCAGCUGUGGUUCAGGGGAGAGGCCCAGGAUAGAGCUAUGCAUUUGAGCCCAUGGACCCCAAGAGUGGAUGGACCCCAAGAUCUAGGAGACCAAGCCUAAAGGAGAAAACAACAGUCAGGAACAGCACUGGAAGCCAACAGGCCAGAUGGAGUUAGUCCUGAAGUCAAACUUUCAGAAAGAAAAAUGUCUUAGUCUUCAAGUCUAUGCAUCCUGGGCUCUGUCCCUAAGAGGAAGCCAGACCUUUCUGCUCACCAACUCGUCCCCCUGCACCUUCCUGAUUGAAGCCACAUUCCACGUCAUGCCUGUACAUCUUCCCCUCGCCCUUCAGACCCAGAGCCUGGCUUCCUGAUCUGCACAAAAGAGACUCUCCAGAUGUGUCCUGGAAAAUCCCCCAAAAGUAGGGGGAAAGGUCCCAGUCAAAGCCAAAGCAAGGAAGAGGAAAAAGAGGAAGGAGGAAACUGUCAUGGGAUAAGAUUUUGUCACAUAUCUGUAAUUAAAGGUCCUCUUAUAUGUGCAUACACAAACACACGCACGUAUACGCAUAACACGGUUAACAAAUAUUAAGAUCUUAACAGUGGCCUUCUCUAGGAAAGAUGGGAUUAUGGGUGACUUUGAUUCGCCUCUAUCCUAGCUCUCCUCUUACUAGCUGUGUGAUUUAGAGCAGGUUAGCUAGCCUCUCAGUUACUCAGUUUCUUCACCUGUAAAAUGGGGCCAUCAUUCUUCUCAGUGUACUAUAUUGUGAAGAUUAAAUGAGAUUAUACAUAUCAAGAUCUCAGAACAGUGCCAGGCACACGUAGUAGAGGUUGAGCAUUCUUAAUCUGAAAACCAAAAAUCUGAAAUGCUCCAAAGUCCAAAACUUUUUGAAUGCCAACAUGACACCACAAGUAGGAAAUUCUACACCUGACCCCAUGUGAUGGGUCGCAGUCAAAAGACCAUCAAAACUUUGUUUUGUGAACAAAAUUAUUAAUAAUAUUGUAUAAAAUUACCUUCAGGCUACACAUGUAAGAUGUAUAUGAAACAUUAAUAAAUUUUGUGUUUAGACUUGGGCCCCAACCCCAAGAUAUGUCAUCAUGCAUAUGCAUAUAUUCCAAAAUAAAAAAAAAUCCAAAAUCCAAAACACUUCUGGUCCCAGGAUUUAGGAUAAGGAAUAUGCAACUUGUAACAGAAUCAACAAAUACAACAACUAUAAUUAUUUCUCCCUGUCUCCUUAGCCUUUUGCAAAGGGUAUGCAUUGCUUUGUAAAUUUUUUUAAGCGUUGUAUUGUUUUAAUUCAAAAAGUAGCUGGCACGGGGGCUCACGCCUUUAAUCUCAGCACUUUGGGAAGCCGAAACGGGUGGAUCACGAGGUUAGGAGUUCGAGACCAG
rnacentral:lncRNA from 1 species